CUUCUACUGCAGUCCUACCAGGAACCAAUCACUUCAGGGUAUUAUGCUCAUUUAUAGCAUCAAGAAUACUGGCUCACUGCUGCACUCCUUAUUGUAACCUCAAAUACCUCUCUAACUUCUGCAGUUAUAGAGAGAAAGCUUUUUCACAGAAGUAUCUUUAUAGAUACAUUAAAUAAAGAAAAAGAGAAAUGAAUGAGGUCAAAUCAGCAAAACUUAUUUUUGUGAAACUGUUCUUUCAAGGAUGUCAUAACUUCUACAAAUGCUAUAUCUAAUGAGGUGACUGAACUGCCAAAUUUAGCUUUACUGGAACACAAAUGUAGCUCUCUAAAAAGUGAUGGUGUAACUGACAGCAAAACUGGCACCUACAAGGACAGACAAUUGAAAAAGAUGUGAGCUCUCUGGCUUAUAAGUCUUGUUUCUCAAAAUGAAACCAGAUUGACUUCCUCUUGCACAGCUCUUCUUCGAUUUAUUGUAAAAAGGAACUCUCAUUCUCUGUCACUUUUCCACAACCUGUGUCUACCAAAAAGUGGAAGGUUAAAGGCCCUGUUUUUGACUUACACCAUGAUGAAAUUCAGCCUGUUGGUGUUAUUAAAAGCUCAGUGUAUUUCCUUGAAUGGAGCCGCCAUACAGAUCUGUGUGUUGUUACCUUCACUUUGCACUGACUGCAUCCAGGCCUGAGGAAUAAUGAGGAGCCGCAUGAAACCUCAGGGGUAAUGUAGGCAGCUCUUGUUGUACAAGAGAUAAACAAAUCAUUUGCUGUAAUGCCUAUGUUAUCUAAAUAAUGAUAUCACCGUGAAUAAUGUUAUUUGAACGACAAUAAAUGGCUGUUUGAUAAGCUGAGCGGGGAUUUACAGUGUCUGUGGGGACAAACAUGAUAGUAGUGAAAUAAAUGUAAUCCAAAGCACGAUGUUGUAAUUCAAUCUUAAGCUCGGAUCUUUACGGUACAGCCGGGGUCUCCUCCAGCAGCGGCAGACUGCCAUAGAGCGCCACAUCAGCCAGAUAAAUUCUCAUGACAGUCUGCGAAAUGCUCCCAUAACCAGUGACACUGGAUGAUUUCCCGCCUCUGACAAGCCCCAGUAUUGAGUAUGAUAACACUUACUUUGUCUUCAUCCUUGGCUGGAGUAUAAUAUCAAUCCGUUUGAUGAUCCAGCAAACCGAGUCGAGCACUUGUGUAUCAAUCUUCAUACAUCGCUGCCUAGUGUCUAACAAAGAGCCCAGAAUGGGAUCAUUCAAUCACUCGUGGGCCGCGCUGCGCUCCUUACACUUGGCCUUCUCCACAGCUCAAGUGUUUCACUCGCUGUCAGCAUCCCUCCUAUUUUUCAUCCCCUUCUUCUCCCUGUCUCUUUCUUUUUCUCGUGAGGGGGAUAAAGACACAAAUUAUACAUGAUCACAGAGCUGCGUGCUUGUCAUAACGAAAUGUCAGAUGAUCAAAUAGGAUCUGGAGAAGCUUCAAAUGGCGUUUCUGCCUGUUCUCCUCUUCUUCAUCUUUCACCUUUCUCAUGACCUAACUCUACUUUUACUACCCAUAAAUCACUGCUGCUUUACCUCCUCACCCUUCACCCUCACAGCUUAAAUCUGUCCUUCAUUAUCUGUCCCCCUUUAUUUGAAAAUCAAAACCAUAACACACUUCUCAAAUUAUAUAAACCACAGUGAAAACUCAACUUUGACCCAAAUACAAGUUGACAUUUUGAGAAGUGGGCUUAUUUGUUGAUUCGAAUGAUUUGAAAAUUAAUGUGUUUAUAGUUACAGUAAAAUUCCUUCAGUUUUGACGGUUUGACGGUAACACUUUCUUUGCAACUUUAGACUCAUCAGCUAACUUGCAGAUCAUUUAAUUAACAGUAUAUCAAACAAUGUCUUUGGUAAUCAAGUUUUAAACUAUCCUGCUAUAAAUUUAUAAAUUUAAUUACACUUAACAUUGUCUAGGGGAACUGACCAAUCAGAAUCAAGCAUUUAACAAGGCCAGCUGAUUAAGGGAGCUGAGCGAUAAAUGGUCUUUAGAGUUUCUAAACGGUGUUUUGUUCUUUUCUCUCUGUUAUGUUAAUUAUAUGUGCUAAGUAUAAGCUAAAAAGCUGCUGGAAAUAACUAAAAAUUUACUACAGGAGUGACUCUUCUCAUUCAAAAUGUGUUUUUCUGAAGAUGGAAAUGUAAUCUCUUGAGGAAGCAGCAACCUCUAAGGUGAUUCUAUCAAGUUUCGAGAAUUAUUUUAGCACAUUAGUUUGCUCUUGCCAAGUUUUUAAAGUAUUUAGAUUUUUUGAAGCAGUACUGUUAUUGAGGAAAAAACUGUUCUCUUUCAAAACAACUCACUGCUGUUCAGCUGUUGAACAAAGAGAGAGAGAGAGAGAAAAGUGUUUCUGAGUUGUGGAACUCUAAUAAAAAUUUGGAGUUACAUCCAGACAAAACAUAUACUUGCUUGGCACCAUAUCAUCAUCUAGCUUCGGCUAGGGGAACACUGAAGUAGGCUCUGAAAUAUCAAUUUAAUCUACUGCUACCAACUCUGGUUGAAAGUGGGGUCUGCCAUGGAAAUACAAUAUAUAUUAUAUAUGUAUAACACAAUGCAUUUAAAAAGCACCAACCUCUAGAAUAACCAUGCAGUUAAAUCAACCCUUCUGUUAAACAACAAAAAAACAUUACAGAUGACAUAAUUUCAAGAUUGUGAAUCAUGGCUAAAAAGCACUGACCACCAUUGCAAUUUGCUCAUGGGCUGAUGUCUGUCGGGAAAGUAAAUAUCAGUCAAUACCAAUGAUAAACUAAACGCUGGUGCAUCUCUAGUGUAAAAACAAUCCUUAACAUUUAAGUUACAGUGUAUUGAGUUUGUUGAGCCAAUACUGAGAACUGAAAAUAAUCCCUUCUGAUGGCCAAACACCAAUAUUAUAACCAACCAUUCACGUUUGCAUUUUAAAAUGUGUAUUUUCUGCACACCUGGGGGUAAAGAGGCUAAAAUAUGGUGAGAAAAGAUACUAAUAUAUCAGCAUUGUCACUUGUUUAUUCAUUUUAACUUAAGUCCUUAUUCUUUUUAUUGAUAGAUAGAUUUGAACCUGGGGCGCCUGUAUUGUGGACUACACCCUCUGCUAAUGGGGCCUCAUGCAAAUCAAGGUCAAACCAGCACCCCAUAACUUUAUUUUCUUUGUUUUACUAAAACAAACACCGUCCCUGAGCGUACUGCAUUGUACAUUAGUGUUCUUUUGGGCCUUCAAACUUAAAAUUCUUAACAAGACUUUUGCCGGGGAAAGUCCUACCUCCUUCGCCCUGAUUGGCUAGAAAAGCUGGAAACGACAUUACACGCUCAAGCCAAACGGUCAGCACUUAUAGCCAAUCAGAGGCAAUAAGAUAAGCACAUGAAACUAUGGUAACAACUGUUAGCAUAUGUUAGCACAGAUGAAAGUUAAAACAAAGACGUCUAGCAAACUGUUAAAGCACACAAACUAUCGUCAUAUGAGAAAUCCGGUGCUAUGACUCUCCAUAAGUUGUCCUUCAGGUCGUUAUCUUUGUAAUGUUUGUAUCUUUUAUCAAAAAGCACUUUGUGCCCCGACACGUAAUCAAUCAGCCAGUCGGCCAUGUUGGAUAUACCAGUGAAGCUGAAACGCAACAACAUGCAAUCUGAUUGGUCAGAAGUGGACACACAGUAUGCGAAACUUUAAAAAAAUCGACCAUGAUCCGAAAAAAUAAAUGCCUCAAUAUCGCAGGACGGGAAAACGUCACUGAUGUGAACGCUUGUAUUAACAGGAUAAGGGUUCGAAAAAAAAAUAUUGAUGUCCGAAAUAAUCGCAUGACAAAAAUGGUCCCGGUGUGAAAGGACCUUAACACUAACUUAGCAUUAGCUUUUCUACAGUCAGCCAGUUAGAGGGGUGGUUUAUCAAAUGAAAACUACUCACCCUCCUUAUCUUUGAACAAUUUGCUUGCGUAGAGUGGAGACUUGUGUAGAGACUUUAUCACAGAAACAUAAAUGUAAAAAAAAGACUUUUAGUUUCAGUAAAUUAAAGUUAACACUUUGCUGUGACAGUUAAUUCACCCACCUUCUGUGCGCCAGCAGUAUCGUGUGUGUGCAUGCGUGUGAGUGUGCAUGCACUUGCGCGGAAUGCAAGAAGAUAGCAUUGAAAACGUGGACUGGGGUUUCAGUGGUUCAGGUUUGAUCUCAAUAAACGAGCAGAACGGAUUUAGUAAUGAAGCUCGGACACAGCGCUCUGAAAACAGCGCUGAGUGAACAGGCUGAUGUAUUGAUGGAGAUCCAAAAUAAUGAUUUUUGGUAGCUAUACUAACGAUUACAAUGAAACGCUGAAGCAGAGGGAACUCAGCUCCUACUGGCCAUACUGACGAGGUGAAGAGGCGGAGCUAAGCUCUGGCCUAAUUUAAUGUCCGGGUGGAGCUCAUACUGCCACCUACAGAGUCAAAGUCUGGAGGUCUAAAGGUAAAUAAAUGAAAGCAACCUUAGUUGUUAGUUUUAACAGGGUAAAAAAAAACAAAAAAACUAUAUUAUCAGUGAACAGUAUGACGAUCCAUUAUCUUAUAGCCAUGGUCCAUGUUUUACAUUUUAAUGAAUGCUGUUUAAUUUCAUUCUUAAGCAUAAAUGAUAUGAUACAAUCACAUUGGUUGUUGUUUUAAGACACUCAGCUGAUAUUUCCUGCAGAAUAACUAAAGCUGUAGCACACUGGCAGUUUGUGUAUCUACUCUGACCAUUGACUGUGGCUUUGCAGCAUUGUUUGGUGCACUGUGAAGACAACUAUGAGGCUGUGCUCACCCUGUGAAAUAUAGCUCAAUCAAUAGAAGCUCAGCAAUCAACUUUUACUUGUCAGUUUUGAUAUAUCCGAUCAUGGCUUUGGGAUGUUUUGCGACGUCUAAUGUUCUGUGAAGAUGGGCUUUUCAUAUUCUUUAUUGUUUCUCCCUUUUUUUGCCCCCAUCGACAAAAAAAUGUGUCCACACUUUUGUGAAAUAAAACCUCAGAGGGAGAGAGGAUGGGGGAAAAUUAGAGAGGUGGAGGGGGGGUGAGGGAAACAAUGAAAUUUAACCCGUUUAAAACUGUAUCAUUUUCAGACCAUACCUCAGGGCGCUGGGUGUUUAUCGGCAGGACUGGAGAAGCAGAGAUCACCGGACUGGUAAUUGUUUCCUCUAAAUCUGCUGAGCUCUGAGGAACACCGAGUGCAGUUUUUCAUCAGACAGAGAAUGAGAGGGUAAAAGGACAAUACUAAGAAAAGCAAAAAUGCUUUAGUCCAUCAUGUUGGAUUUUAUCACUUCAUCUAACAAGUGAGUAAGGCCACUAGCCUCGCUCACAACAUAAUUAUAAACACAGCUUUGGCUUCUGCUGUGUUCACUGGAAAAAUACUCAAGUAUGGUAUUGUUUUUUUCCACAAACAUCAUUUUCUUUGAGCAAAGCGACCUGAAAGCAAAGAAGGGGAAAAUACACCAUAAAUUGCAUUUUAAAUUUGAUGGAAAGAGAAGCAGAAUUGAGGUGUUUUUGAAAAGCACCUUAGCACUAACUUGAUUUGACAUUUUCCUAUUGAGUCAAAGCUUUAGCAAUGGGCCUGAUAUCUCAUUUAGCUGUAAAGUGAUGUGCGCUCCACGCAGCAGCAAAAAAAAAAGACAUCAGAAAAAGCAAAGUACUGCCACUCUCCGCUCGGACCAAUUUGUCUCCAUCACUCCACUCAUAUAAACACUGAAUGAUUUAGCUAAAAUUGUGCCCAGAAUCUUAUGGGGAUUUUUUUUCUCCCCACUUUAUUUUCAUUAUACUUGCGAGUAUGUUCGAGGUUUGGAUUCUAUGCGUGCGUUUAGCUUUGAAAGUCUCAGAUUUAGUGCGCUGGUAUUGGCUCAUUUUUCAUAUCCAUUGUUGGCUUGUCAGAGUGUCAUAGCUGUUCCACAGAGCUGUUAGAUCAGUCCAAAUGUAUAAAUCAUCCAGGAUCUGACACACUCAUUUAAUUUGGGGGGCCCUGGUGCAGCAGCGGGCCUAUUAAUGAAAAAUCCCUGCUCUGUUUGCUGAGUGGGAACAUUCAGCCUUUUUUAUUUUAUUUUUUAUUAACGUUGAUAUUCUGUAUGAUUUCCCUCAGUAGCCUGUUGGCUGCCAACCUGGCACUUUGUCAUUUAUCAUCAUAUGUCAUGUUGUUCGAUCUGUUGAAUUCUUUCAGUCUAAGCUCCUUUACGAAAAUCACUUUGCAUAUUUAGAAAAAAAAAAGGGGCAAACUCUGAGGGCGCUAGGUGAACCAAACCUCUCACAUUCCUCUGUGCAGCAGUGGUUCCAACCCUGGAGCCUGUGUUAUUGUUUUCCAUCUGUGAAAUAAAGUAACAGGUACUUAAUGUACCAAAAACAAUUUGUACAGCAGUUCUUUUUCCCCAUUGAAGGCGUGCAUGGCUCGCUGAGGGCUCCCCUUAUCUCAGCGAGGCUAAUCCAUUUUCACACUGCGCUCCGGCGCUCUCAUUUUACAGCUGAGGAGCUCUCCGGCUCCACGCUGGGCCUGAAAUGGGACCCCAGUCACUGCGGCCCCUUGGAGUUUGCGUAGGUAAGUGUGCAGAACAAAUGCUGAAAAGUCUUUAAAAAGUUAAAGGGACUAGUUUGGCUUCUCCCUCUCUCUCUUUUGCCUCUCUCUCUCUCUCUCUCUCUCUUUCUUUCUCCGGGUCCCACCUGAUCACCUACAUUUUUCCUGCAUUUCAGAGUGAGCGGCUGUGCUGUGCUCUGUCACAGGAGAGUGUUUGCACACAGAAAAGUCCACAGUAAGUAAAAAAAAAAGGUGUUUAUCUGUGCAUUUCAUUGCGCUGAUGUGUAUUGAUUGUAUUUGCUUAGUAUGAUUGAUUAAAAUGUUUAUGAU